UUUGACAAGGCAAUAGAAUUUUGGCCUGUUGAAAAAUUAAAAAAAAGAACUAAUAUUCAGAGGAGCAAAGACGAAAGGCAGAAAGGCAGACUUAAUAGAGAGGUUAAGAGCAUACGACAGAAACAGAAAUUUUGAAAGUGACCCAAUCUUGAUACCUACACCCUAGGAAGUUUAAGGGACUUCAAAAGGAUUCCGACAACUAAGAGAUCCACUGAGAGCUUAUUCCACAACUCUGUUUGGAACAAAUUGAUCUGUAUUUUGUACACAGAUUGGCCGGUGACAAACAAUGUUCUGGGGACGUAAAGGCGAUUGAAAAAGGCCGAAACCUGGUGGAAAGUAGACGAAUUCAAGCAGUUUCCUUUCUGUUUGAAGAAAGUGAUAUGUACCUGUAAGGUAUUGUUGGAGCAUCCAUGAAAAAUAAGGAAUCUUACACUUUCAAGUUAAAACUUGAUAAAGUUACUGGUGAUAUCCUCAACUCACACUG